UCAGCGUGAGCCCAAGUGGUUCUUCAGCAGCAGACAUUCAUGGGCAUGAUCCUGGCACUCGCUGGUGUUUGUCUGACAGCUGUGUGUGCUUCGGCCGAAGCUGCAGUAAGUGACCUACCAGGUUCCGCGGAGGAAGCCUGGCCCUGCCAUUCCCCAUUGAGUCAGGAGGUCAAGUGAGAAUUCCACUGAUGUCUUUAAAUAGUCUUGGCUGCAACAAGCUAACGUAGGGGAGGAUUUUGGAGUGUGCCUGUGUGCGCCUGGCAGGGAUAGGCAGGUCUUCAGUUGCUGCUGGAGGGGGAAUUUGGAGGAGACUUCCUUAGCUGCCUCUAAGUGACACUGACCACAUGUUCAACUUUUACCAAAAGACUUUCGGGGCUCUCUGAAUGGAAUGUGGCUGGAAAUAACUCCCAGAACAUCGCUGGACAAGUUUUUGAAAUUCCAGGGCACUAGUCUUGCUCUGUUGCCAGGUGCCAGGCUGGAUUGGCUCGCUGCAACCUCUUGGGUUCAAGCAAUUCUCCUGCCUCAGCCUCCUGAGUAGCUGGGACUACAGGCACGCACCACCACACCCAGCUAAUUUUUGUAUUUUAGUAGACAUGGGAUUUCACUAUGUUGGCCAGGAUGGUCUCAAUCUCUUGACCUUGUGAUCUGCCCGCCUUCACCUCCUAAAGUGUUGGGAUUACAGGCGUGAGCCACCUCGCCUGGCCAAAGAUUUUUAUAAGCCAGUGCCUUGGGCAAGACUUUCAUCUGAGCACCAAUUUUUACAUUCUGUCUAAGGGCAGAUAAUGUUUAUAUAUGGAACAGUGUUGGUCUUCCAAUCCAAGUCUUUCUAAGAAAUGAAGAAAUGUGUACAGCUGGAUUCCUGUCUGCAGUAACAUUUUCUCAUCUCCAGGCAAACUGGAUUACACCUCACCCCUCUCUGGUCACCCUGCCUGAGUCUGGCCUCAGCCCUGACCCAUCCAGAUUCUUGCAUGUUGCUGCUUGCAGCACACUCAGGCCAUUGAACUGCAAGUUACUGCUGCUGCCAGGACACUCUGGACAAGCAGGCAAAUAGAGGAAUCACCUGAAGGCUGAGAGGAGCUACCCACCGCGGCAGGAGGAACAGGAUGGAACUCAGGUGAUCCACGGAGGCACUUGGGCAUCCUCUCUUGCCAUCUGAGUAGUGAGCAGACACAGGAGGCAGCCUUGAACUGAGAAGGAGUGACUGCCAAGCUGCAGCCUUCUCAGUAGUGAAGUUUGGCCGUACCACCAGGCAAGCCAGCAGGUGAACAGAGGUGGUAGUUGAAGGGGAGGAGAAUGCAGAAUGGAGAGUCAAGAAAGAGCUGAACGGCAGUGUUGGGGCCAUACCACCAGCUCCCCGCUGUCAGUUUCCCCCCGGGAGAAGGGGGCUCUAGGGGGCCAGCACAGCUGCAUCUGUGCAGUAUGAGGAGUGAGCCAAGGAGCCUGGGGAAACGUCUCUCAGAGUUGUAAUUGUCCAGCACCCCACUGCUGAGCUCUGAACCCCAUUGCUGCAAGCACCCCAGGGGUGCUUCCUGGGGGGUCCUCUACCCAUGAUGGAGCUUGGCAGGGACACUAAGGCAGGCCUGCUCCCAGGAGACGGGGGCCACCUUAAAUGCAUGGCUACGGCCUGGAGCCUCCUCAAUGGCUUCUCAAAUUUUCACCAGCACCGCCCUACUGUUUCCCACCCAAAUUCCUUCCUUCCCUCUCUCCUUCCCUUGUAAUCAGACCUGCGCCGUGGCCUGCCACCUCCCAGCCUCUCAGCUCCGCCCAUUCUCUCUCACAGGUGCUUCCCCAAAUAAUGUUCUUGCAGAUGUUUUCCCACCUUGAUGCCUGAUUCUUGGAAGACUCAGACAAACAUGUCCCUCUUCACCUUUCCGAUAGUGGUUUUCCACAAGUCUCCUCCCAUUUUCACCUAUUUCAUCGAAUUUAUUCAUCUUUACAAAGAGUCAACUUUUGGCUUCGUUGAUCCUCUCAGUUAAAUAUUUGUUUCUAUUUUAUAGUUCCUGCUCUUACCACUUAUUUGCUUUCUUUCAAAAUAAAGCUUUUGAACUUUGUUUUACUGUUCUUUUUCAAUAUUCUUUAAAUGGGUGCCUAAUUCACUAAACUUUUUUUGUUUUUGAGACACCGUUUCACUCUUGUUGCCAAUCUGGAGUGCAACAGCACUAUCUAGGCUCACGGCAACUUCCGCCUCCUGGGUUCAAGUGAUUUUCCUGCCUCAGCCUCCCAAGGAACUGGGAUUACAGGCAUGUGCCACCAUGCCUGGCUAAUUUUCUAUUUUUAGUAGAGACGGGGUUUCUCCAUGUUGGUGAAUCUGGUCUCGAACUCCCAACCUUGGGUGAUCCGCUGGCCUUAGCCUCCCAAAAUCCUGGGAUCACAGGCAUGAGCCACCACACCUGGCCUAAUUCACUAAACUUUAUGCUUCCUUCAUUCUGCAUCUGUUUAGAGGCUACAAAUGUUCGUUUAAUCGUUGCUUUAACUGUACUCCACAUUAUUGUGUAUUAUUUUCACUUUGUUUUGUUCAAAAUGUUUUCUAAUUUUGAUUAUGACUUAUUUUUUGACCUGAGUUGUUUAAAAACAGAGGCAGUUAUCCUUUGGUGAUCUAUUCUUUACAUAAUGAUUUUUUUUUUUUUUUUUUUUUUUUUUUUUUUAGAUGGAGUCUCCC